AUUGAACGCUGGCGGAAUGCUUUACACAUGCAAGUCGAGCGGCAGCACGGGGGCAACCCUGGUGGCGAGCGGCGAACGGGUGAGUAAUACAUCGGAACAUGCCCAGUCGUGGGGGAUAACACUUCGAAAGAAGUGCUAAUACCGCAUACGUCCUGAGGGAGAAAGCGGGGGAUCUUCGGACCUCGCGCGAUUGGAGGGGCCGAUGUCAGAUUAGCUAGUUGGUGGGGUAAAGGCCUACCAAGGCAACGAACUGUAGCUGGUCUGAGAGGAUGAUCAGCCACACUGGGACUGAGACACGGCCCAGACUCCUACGGGAGGCAGCAGUGGGGAAUUUUGGACAAUGGGGGCAACCCUGAUCCAGCCAUUCCGCGUGAGUGAAGAAGGCCUUCUGGUUGUAAAGCUCUUUCGGCAGGAACGAAACGGCGAGCUCUAACAUAGCUUGCUAAUGACGGUACCUGAAGAAGAAGCACCGGCUAACUACGUGCCAGCCGCCGCGGUAAAAC
rnacentral:rRNA from 1 species